rnacentral:rRNA from 1 species
GACGAACGCUGGCGGCGUGCCUAAUACAUGCAAGUUGAGCGCUGAAGGUUGGUACUUGUACCAACUGGAUGAGCAGCGAACGGGUGAGUAACGCGUGGGGAAUCUGCCUUUGAGCGGGGGACAACAUUUGGAAACGAAUGCUAAUACCGCAUAAAAACUUUAAACACAAGUUUUAAGUUUGAAAGAUGCAAUUGCAUCACUCAAAGAUGAUCCCGCGUUGUAUUAGCUAGUUGGUGAGGUAAAGGCUCACCAAGGCGAUGAUACAUAGCCGACCUGAGAGGGUGAUCGGCCAAAUUGGGACUGAGACACGGCCCAAAAUCCUACGGGAGGCAGCAGUAGGGAAUCUUCGGCAAUGGACGAAAGUCUGACCGAGCAACGCCGCGUGAGUGAAGAAGGUUUUCGGAUCGUAAAACUCUGUUGGUAGAGAAGAACGUUGGUGAGAGUGGAAAGCUCAUCAAGUGACGGUAACUACCCAGAAAGGGACGGCUAACUACGUG